AGACGUCUACAUUAGAUACCCCCGUAGUCCCAGCCGUAAACUAUGCGCGUUAGGUGUAUCGGUGACCACGAGUUACCGAGGUGCCGAAGGGAAACCGUGAAACGUGCCGCCUGGGAAGUACGGUCGCAAGGCUGAAACUUAAAGGAAUUGGCGGGGGAGCACCACAACAGGUGGAGCCUGCGGUUUAAUUGGACUCAACGCCGGGAAGCUCACCGGAUAAGACAGCGGAAUGAUUGCCGGGCUGAAGACUCUGCAUGACUAGCUG
rnacentral:rRNA from 1 species